UUUUCAGCUUGGGAAAAACAAUUUGACUCUCGAUGAGAGCUAUGCUAUUGUUAUGUAAGAAUUUUACGAGAAAUCCUUUGAUGCCGGUUCGAAUCCGGUCGGCUCCACCA
rnacentral:tRNA from 1 species